CCUGGACUGAGGGAACUCAGUGAGGACUCCUGAUCCAGCCCAGACCCUGGGUACCCCUCAGCUGGGAUCCUGCUGAGGAGAGGAAGAGAGGGAGGAUUUGUUCCUGUGCUCUCUGCCUGGCUUCUGAUCCUCAGUCCUGCCUUGCCCUUCAAUUCCUGCACCUGGGCUUCCCUGGUCAUGCUUCUGGCGGCUGGCUCUUAAUGGGCCUUGAUCCCUGGAAAACCCUCCCCUGCCCAGGACAGCUCUAUCCCGGGCUUGGCUUCUGGUGUCAUACUGGCCUUGAUGGGUUACCCCAAGUCCAUUGCCCCACUAUCUCAUUGAGAUCAGAGCAAGGGAAGGGGCUCACAAGCUUCUGAGAAGCCUAGAAGGUAGCAACUUUGCUUAGUGACCAUGUCCUGUGGUGGACUAGUGAGAAGCAAGGCUCUGCUGCCUGGCUCCAGAGGGAUUCCAGCCCUGCCUCUUGCUAGUGGUGCAACCCUGGAAGCUUCUUGGAGCACUGUACUCAAGAGGAUUCUAAAGUCAUAUCUGGACUCGGUAGAAAAGAAUGCCUAGAUCCACAGGAACAAGAGGAAGGUCUAGGACCAAGCAUAACAUCCUUGUUGUACACUGAAAGUUUUUAACUUGAAGGUCAAUUCUUAAGGAGUGACUUCUGAUUUUCAGCCUGGAAAACAAAUUAUUACCCUAUCAGUGAUAAGGAGGAAAAGUUUGAGAACACCUGGGCCCUGGUCUACUAUUACCUUCAAUCAUCUUUGAAAUUCCGUCUCUUCCCUCAAGUAGCUAGCCAGCUGUCAAAGGCAAAAGGACUAGAGAUCUCAAAUGUAAACAUUCUCACUUCAACAAUACCUCUUGCUCCAGAAAAGUAAGAGAACACAUGUGCUUAUGAGAGAAAGGGGGGCAUACCGAUAUUGCUGAAAGGUGAAUGAAAGGUGGUAUUAUGUUCAUUUCAGUACUAGUAUCUUCCACUAUCAUUUUGGGUUUCAGAGGACAGAUGCCACAGUGCUUGUCAAGGAUCCUAGGAUUUCUUCAAUAAUGUAUUUCCUAUUUUGGGGGGAAGGUAACCUCUGAGACUUUUUAGCAAAUAUAGCAGGCAGGUGGAUGUGCCGGUCACACCAUCAAAGUCUACUCCAACAUUCCUACCUCCUUAGCUUUUGGAGUCCUUCUAUAUAUUAUCCUGGGGAAGUUCCGGCAUCAAACUUUGCUGAAAGUAGGCCAUUGCUGAGUCCAAAAUUUAGUCAUCCAAGCCAGCAAUUAGAACCAUUUUUAGCUUUAGCUAAAAUAUUAAAUCCAGAGUUGGUAAAUGUUCCCAUAUCAACAUACUAAUCCUGAUACAAAAUUAUAUUCUAUUAUUUUUGGCCUAACAUCCAGCACCUAUUCUCACUUGUAUUUCUGGUUUGACGAAUCAUCAAAGUACCUUUGUGUUUUUUUGAAGGUAAACAAUUUCUCCAUUGGUCUGAAUCUGGCUUUGUUUGUUUCAGCAUACUGAGAUAACUCUAGUGUAGGUCUAGGCUAGGAAAAAAUAAAAAAUGGGGAAGAACCUUUAGAAAAAUAAGCAUCUCCUUGCAAAGAAACUGCCUCAGAAAAGGUGAUUAUAGAGUUUUCAAAAAGAAAAGGUGAGUCUUCUUUGUCCUAAGAAGAGAGACUGCUUCUGCUUGCUCAGAGCACCUGUGUGUUCAGUUUCAUCAAAAUCCAAUCAGAGUCUUAGAUUCCACUUGUUCCCAUUGACCUGACUGUCACAUAAGUGAAUUGGUGAGUCUCUGAAUUUAGUUUUCAUUAUAAAUCUGCAACCAUCCCAGUUUUAUUUUUAAUAAGGCUAGUUUUAUGACUAUAAGUAGUAAGAAAUUCUUCUAGGGUUGCCAUAAAGUUCUCUGAUUGUUUGAAUGUGACUUGAGCUCAGACUCUAAAACCUGGAAUUUGUCAUUUUCUUUCUGAAAACUUUCUAUUGCAGUCAUGAGAUGUCAUCCCACCCCACAGCCCUUGUUGCCAUCAUUACCACCACAGGUAAAGUGCAACUGCCACUUGGUCCCCAAAGAUAUAGCAUCCCAAAAAACCACAGGUGAUACUUUUAGUACCUACAAUUCCACUGUUAUAAAGUACUGGAAUCCUGUCUUCCACUAUCAAGAAACUAAGCAUUUUAUUCAUGACCAAGGACAUCUACAAAUCAAUCCCAAAUUCCUAAAGGAAUAGAAGAAAUGAUUAUACUGUCUUGAAAAUUAAGUAGCACUGCGCCAACGUAUGAGUUGACCCUCAUGUCUGAGUCCAGUCAGAAAAACAAAACCCACACUAGGUAUUUCAAUAGAGAGAAUUUAUUAUAGGGAAAUUGGUUAUACAGGUAUUGGAGGGCUGAAAAAGUAAAAGGCAAAGACUGAGAUCACCUAGAAAUAAUACUUCAGGAAGCAACUACCACUCUGCAGCUGGAGGAACAAAAGAAGAGAAUGAGAUAACUAGAACCUAAAAGCCCAGAAUAGGGAACCCCAUGGAGCUAGGGCUCAAGCCUCUGCAGGGGGUGGAAUCAUCUGGCUAUUGCCAAUACUCACUGAGGGGGCACAAUGAGGCUGGUUCUAGUAGUGCUCAAUGCAGCUGGAACCACCUGCCAUUGCUGGGGGGAACUGUGCAACAAAUGAAGCAUUGCCAGCCUGCAAAACACUAACAAGAACAGGAGGUCUGAUCCCUUCUCCAGCCUCCAGUUCUCCUCUAAAGCCCCCUAAUGACAGAACCUAACAGGAAGUGAAUUUACAAAGGCAUCUGGGAAACAUUUGAGGAUAACUAGCUCCAGCAAUCACAGAAGGUAAAUUUGGAGCUGAGGGACAGUGAGUGAAUGACUGGCACUGUUUAGGUCUAGUGCUUUUUUCUGAACAAGUUUCAGAUUUCAUGUUCAAGCACCUUCUAUCUAAGGCCUGUAUCUUUACUGUAUUAACAUGCAUAGGUCAGUGGUCUUUAGUAUAUUCACAGAGUUGUGCAACCACCACUGUAUCUAAAUGCAGAACAUUUACAUUACCCCACAAAGAACUCCUGUCCCAUUACCAGUCACCCUCCAUCCCUCCUUUUUCCCUGGUCCCUGACAAACACCUACAUUCUGUCUCUAUGGAUUUUCCUAUGUUCAACAUUUCAUACCAGUGGAAUCAUAUAACAUGUGACCUUCUAUGUCUUCUUUCAUUUAGCAUAGUAUUUCCAAAGAGCAUCCAUGUUAUAAGAUGUAUUAGGACCUCACUGAUGUUUAUAGCUGAAAAAUAUUCAAUUCUAAUGUGUCAAAUUAUAUUCAACUGUCAUGUAUACCUAAA